rnacentral:misc_RNA from 1 species
GAUGAAGAACGUAGCGAAAUGCGAUAAGUAAUGUGAAUUGCAGAAUUCAGUGAAUCAUCGAAUCUUUGAACGCACAUUGCGCCCGCCAGUAUUCUGGCGGGCAUGCCUGUCCGAGCGUCAUUUCAACCAUCAAGCCCCGGGCUUGUGUUGGGGACCUGCGUCCGACGCAGGCCCUGAAAACCGUGGCGGGCUCGCUGUCCACACCGAGCGUAGUAACUAACCUCGCUAUGGAGUGGCGCGGGCGCCUGCCGUAAAACCCCCAAUUUUUACAAGGUUGACCUCGGAUCAGGUAGGAAUACCCGCUGAACUUAAGCAUAUCAAUAAGCGGAGGA